GCAGCCGCGGUAAUACGUAGGUGGCGAGCGUUAUCCGGAUUUACUGGGUGUAAAGGGUGUGUAGGCGGGAUUGCAAGUCAGGUGUGAAAUUUAUGGGCUCAACUCAUAAACUGCGCCUGAAACUACAGUUCUUGAGUGUCGGAGGGGUAAGUAGAAUUCCCGGUGUAGCGGUGAAAUGCGUAGAUAUCGGGAGGAAUACCGGUGGCGAAGGCGACUUACUGGACGACAACUGACGCUGAGACACGAAAGCGUGGGGAGCAAACAGGAUUAGAUACCCC
rnacentral:rRNA from 1 species